CCUCUUUUAUUCAUGAAUGGCUCAAAAUUUUGCAUUAGGAUCGGAAUUCAUUGUUUAUACUUUCUCCAAUCAUCAAUAUAAGUCCAUUAAGACAAUGGACCCUAUCUUGGAUAUUGUACUUCAACCUGGUCUCUAUCUCCUACAAUACAAUUAAAAAGAACAAAAGUAAGACUGUAAGAUGGUGCGACAAUGUUUUGGGGUCGCUUCCACGCUCCGUGCGAUCUCAGAAGAAAACCUCGCGCAAAUGUCUCGCCUUGUCUGGAAGGAAACCUCGCGGCCUCGCCAUCUCGGGACGAAAACCUCGCUACCGCUGUGAUCCUGCCUGAUGCUCCUCAGCACAAUCAGUAAAAAAAGGAAACCAACACAAUCUCCGAUAGAAUCCAAUCAAUUGGCCCAGCCCACCCGUCCUCCUCUCGCGAGGGAUUUUGGCUUCCAAAGUUCACAUCCUACGUCGCCCUUGCCCGAUCGGUCGCCCCCAUACCCGCCCUCGCUCCUCACAUGGUGGAUUUGGUCUUUCUCCGACGUCGCCCUCGCCUGCCCGCCUCGAUCGCCGUCGCGAGCCGCGGCCUGCGGCCACCCUUGCCCAUCGCACGUGUGAUGGCAAACAUCGGCGACGGGCGGAGGCGGAUCAACAAGCAGGCAUCGACAAGGCGGAGGAGCACGCCGGAGAGCUGCUCACGUUGAAGUACAUCGACCUGACAUACAUGGUCCACGCCGUGGCGGCCGGCAACCUAGACUGAACGCUGCUGGCACAUUCGGCGAUCCACGGCGCCGUGGCGGGGUACACGGGUUUCGUGUCGGGGCCGAUCAACUAACAAUGGCAGCAAAGGCUACAUCCCCGGUUCAGCACGUCUGCGCGUGUCCAAGUGCUCCCCUAAUUCCAAGCAGCUCUUGGUUGAGGAUGUUGUUCCUUCAGAGUUCAGAUAACUAGAGCAACUUCACAGUUUGUUAUAUGCCCUGAAUCUGCACAAUGCUCGGGCUUCAUUGAUGUAGGGAAUUCCUAUUUUUGUGUGCGCUCUUUAAGCAGAAGUAGAGCAACUUCAGUUGUUGUAGUUAGUUAUAUGCCCUGAAUCUGCACAGUGCCCGAGCUUUAUUGAUGUAGGGAAUUCCUGUUUUUGUUUGCGCUCUUUAAGCAGAAGAAUCAUAAGAUUGUCGUCAACUGUAUUUGUAUGAUAAUUCAUACAGGUACUUCUAUGCAAUUACAGCAACAUAAAUAUUUGUCCAAUGACAUUCUAAUUCCAGAACCAGUCAUCCAAUCAGCCAUACACUGCAACAAGUCUGAAUCCUCGUUGCUCUGUUCUAUAUGAUUUUCCCCAAGAUUCACCGUUGGACUGAUCAACUCAUGACGUAUAAUUCAGCAACUUGUUUUCUUUUGCUUGCUGCAGCGCAAGUAUUUUUGGUGUCUCAGAAUCAAUGCAGUGCACCUAUGAUGGCAAGGGCAAUUCCAUCCCCACCAUAUUGCCUAUCAUGCAGGGUCGAGGUGAUAUUUCACAUUAAUCCGGAGAAUGACCAAGAGGAGCAUGUGAGGGACCAGCUAAACAAAGGAGUUGUACCAUGGUGCCCGUGGCACCUUCAGGUCUAGCGUCUACCUCAUACGCUACUUUAUGAUUGGCUCAAGGCUUUAGAUAGUUUAUUUAUUAGCUUGAUGAUUUUUUUCGAAACAUUAGCUUGAUGAAUUGGGAGUGUUCACUACUUAGGAGUUGGUUCAGUAAUGAGUUUGGACCUUUUGGGGAUGUUUUUUAACAGACCUUUUGGCGAAUUUCAGCGGAUUGUCACUGCUUGGGUAUAUGUGGGUACCUUGCGAGUGCACGUAAUGUUAGUUCAGGUAUGGUUGAAUGAUAAUGUGUUGUUUCACUGCGCUUGUUUUUUUAUUUGAGAGAGAGAGCUUGCUUGCUCACUUGAGCACGGAUCAUUCUUGGUUUAGUAUCAUGUAUAGUCGUAUAGACCAUAUUGCCGUUGGGAUGGCAUAACAAUAAUUACUAUAAUUGUCAAUUAAUGCAAUUACUAUGCUGCCAAAUUUGCUUCAUGCCACUAAAAUUUCACAAGAUAUGCUGCCUGUCAAAUAUGGAGAUAGUGUUUUCUGAAGCAUGGUGGGUCGGAACAGGAUAUGCUGCCUGCCCAUUUGUCUUCUUCUGCUUUCAGUUCUCUAGGGUGCUGCCAUCGAUGAAGCAACUAGAAGCAGAGCUAGAAAGGGAAAUCACAGAACCUCGUUCCCCGAAGUUUGCAUAUGAUGAUGAUGCUUCUAAGGAUUUAGAUCAUAAGGACGAGAAUAACACACAAACUAUGAGUGGAACACCAGUUAGAUAGUCUGCUAGGAAUACAGGAAAAACCUUGAAAAAGUACACAGACUUAUCUUCCUGAGGGGAUUCAUGUGACAAUGAUAAUGGGAGGUAACUGAGGACUUGGAUGAUAAGGUACAUCUGAAUUUUACUUGUCUAUAUAUAGGUUCAAGGUUUGUAAUAUCAAAAUUUUGUCGCACUGCCGCUUAUUUUGCUUGCUAUGCAUGAAGAAGAUAGAGAGUCCAGAAAUUAAGGAUGAGAGUGAAAGCGAAGACGCUAAACCUGCAGAUUCUUCAACAGUGGCCCUUUCAAGCAAGAAGGGGCCUCUUGUUCAGGCUACUUUGCCUAGCAUGUUUAAAAAGGUAGAAGAAAAACAGGCUAAGCGGAUCAAAGGCCACCACACGUGGUUCCGAAGAUCGGUCUCCAUGUUCGGGAAGCCGAACAAUGCAUUGAGGAGUGCACUGGAUGCUGGUGAGGUUGCCAUCAAGGAGCAUCGCCUCAUUGUCAAGCCGGAGCUCAAGGAGGUCGUGCUUCAUGCAAACAAGUGUCUGGUAGUUUUGCUGCCCCUGUCUCACAUAUUGGAUGGACAUAAUAUUAGUAGGUUCUGGGUUUAGAUGGUCGUUUCUUUAAGUUCCUGGAAUGCUCAAAUGUUUAGCUCAAAAUUAUAUGGUUCAAAUUUACAGAUUUGUCUCCCAUUCAUUCUAUGGUUUGUACUUUGGAAGUGCUGCAGGUUGCAGCACCUAGAUACUGACAACAGUGGAAGAGUCUGAGAUGGCUUAUGCAAGCCCUGGGAUUGAUACGUCAAGAUGAGAAGAAUAAAUUGGUUCUUAAUGUUUUGAAUAUUUCUUUUGUAGAUGGUCAGUGCAUUACUAAUGUGGAUGUACCUUUUUUUAAAUAAAACUAGACAUGGCAUAACUUUGACACGAGAGUAUUGUGA